AAUGCGAUAGUUAUGACUACACAUGCUGUAGACUAUAACUACCUGUGGGUUCAUUAUUUGACAUCAUUCCCAAGAUCUUUAGCUAAUAGCAAAAUUAAAUUUGAUAAAAAUAUCUUUUUCUCUUCGGGUGAAGUGCUCGAUUUUGAGAUCAUGCUCCAUACAGGAUCUUGAGUCUCUAAUAAUCUCUUUCAAGAGCUGAGCAUUGUUUGUGUGUUGAUAUUCAAAGAUUCUAUUACAUCUCUCCUUCCACAUCCACCAAAUAGCGCAUCUGAAAGUAACCUUUGCCAGUUGUGUAAAUGGCCCUUUUCUUGAGAAACAUUGCAUAAGGUCGCCUAGUUCUUGGUGCAAGUUUGGUUGCGGCAGUCUAUUGAGUUCAAAUAGCUGGAGAAUCUCCUUCCAUAUCCAUUUUGUAUAAU
rnacentral:lncRNA from 1 species